CCAGCAAUAUACCCAAGUAAUUGGGGACACCAAGGUGAGAGAAACCACUGAGUUAUUUCUGAUUUUCUUACCUCUGCAGACAUUUUUACCUUUUAUUCUGGAUGGGAACGGUGACUUUCAUCUGGCUCCAACAUCAGACCUUCAAAGGAGGAUGUGCUGCAGGUACACCAGCUCUCGUGUCCACGGUGGAUCACCACUGCCAUUUCCAGUGCUCCAGGCCCCAGCCAGUUUCAAGAUGAGGACUGCCUGGAGGGUGUCUAGAAAGCCAGCAGAAGGCAGCCCAUUCCCGAGGAACAGUACCUGCCUGCAGAAGCGAGAAGGAGGUCAGUAGUGGGUGCAGCAGGAAGGACUCAGAGCAGGCUUUGGUCAACAGAAAAUAAGAGAGCAAAUUACAUCUCUUCAGUCCUAGAAAACCUCUGGGAGGGUAGGAUGGUGAGAGGGAGGAGGCAGAAGGAAAACGAGAGAUGAUGAUUAGGGUUGUAUGACUGACGGCUGUAAGGGGAGGGAACCUUUAAAGGGAUAGUGAAGAGGGAGCGUGGGGUAAGGGCAGAGGAGGAGUGAGCAAUGGAUGGGGAAGAUGGGAAAGGCGGGAAUCUGGGCACGGGAGAAAAGGCCUGAGAAGAAGUGAAGGCGUAAGAGUUGGGGGGCAGGGGAAUGGAGGAAUAAACGGCGGGGGGACAGGGACGGGUGUCCCCGC
rnacentral:lncRNA from 1 species